AGAGUUUGAUUCUGGCUCAGGAUGAACGCUAGCUACAGGCUUAACACAUGCAAGUCGAGGGGAAACGACAUCGAAAGCUUGCUUUUGAUGGGCGUCGACCGGCGCACGGGUGAGUAACGCGUAUCCAACCUGCCCACCACUUGGGGAUAACCUUGCGAAAGUAAGACUAAUACCCAAUGAUAUCUCUAGAAGACAUCUGAAAGAGAUUAAAGAUUUAUCGGUGAUGGAUGGGGAUGCGUCUGAUUAGCUUGUUGGCGGGGUAACGGCCCACCAAGGCAACGAUCAGUAGGGGUUCUGAGAGGAAGGUCCCCCACAUUGGAACUGAGACACGGUCCAAACUCCUACGGGAGGCAGCAGUGAGGAAUAUUGGUCAAUGGACGAGAGUCUGAACCAGCCAAGUAGCGUGCAGGAAGACGGCCCUAUGGGUUGUAAACUGCUUUUAUAAGGGAAUAAAGUGAGUCUCGUGAGACUUUUUGCAUGUACCUUAUGAAUAAGGACCGGCUAAUUCCGUGCCAGCAGCCGCGGUAAUACGGAAGGUCCGGGCGUUAUCCGGAUUUAUUGGGUUUAAAGGGAGCGUAGGCCGGAGAUUAAGCGUGUUGUGAAAUGUAGAUGCUCAACAUCUGAACUGCAGCGCGAACUGGUUUCCUUGAGUACGCACAAAGUGGGCGGAAUUCGUGGUGUAGCGGUGAAAUGCUUAGAUAUCACGAAGAACUCCGAUUGCGAAGGCAGCUCACUGGAGCGCAACUGACGCUGAAGCUCGAAAGUGCGGGUAUCGAACAGGAUUAGAUACCCUGGUAGUCCGCACGGUAAACGAAGGAUGCCCGCUGUUGGUUUGUAUAGGUCAGCGGCCAAGCGAAAGCAUUAAGCAAUCCCACCUGGGGAGUACGCCGGCAACGGUGAAACUCAAAGGAAUAGAAGGGGGCCCGCACAAGCGGAGGAACAUGUGGUUUAAUUAGAUGAUACGCGAGGAACCUUACCCGGGCUUGAAUUGCAGAGGAAGGAUUUGGAGACAAAAAAACCCUUCGGGGCCUCUGUGGGGGUGCUGCGUGGUUGUCGUCGGCUCGUGCCGUG
rnacentral:rRNA from 1 species